AGCGAACGCUGGCGGCAUGCCUAACACAUGCAAGUCGAACGUGAUCCAGGCUUCGGUCUGGUGAAAGUGGCAGACGGGUGAGUAACGCGUGGGAACCUGCCCUGUGGUAGGGAUUAACUGCGGGAAACUGCGGCGAAUACCCUAUGUGUCCUGAGGGACAAAGAUUUAUCGACAUAGGAGGGGCCCGCGUCGGAUUAGGUAGUUGGUGGGGUAACGGCCUACCAAGCCAUCGAUCCGUAGCUGGUCUGAGAGGAUGAUCAGCCACACUGGGACUGAGAUACGGCCCAGACUCCUACGGGAGGCAGCAGUGGGGAAUAUUGGACAAUGGGGGCAACCCUGAUCCAGCAAUGCCGCGUGGGUGAUGAAGGCCUUCGGGUUGUAAAGCCCUUUCGGCGGGGAAGAUGAUGACGGUACCCGCAGAAGAAGCCCCGGCUAACUUCGUGCCAGCCGCCGCAGUAACAC
rnacentral:rRNA from 1 species